UGCUCGUCAAAGCAUAGCCAAUAAACAUAGCCGUCGAGUCGUCGAGUUCAUUUGCACCAUAACACAAAUGUCGGCCACUCAGUUUUCUCUCUCUCGAAACCCUACAUUUGCUUCCCCCUCUUCCGCCCUCAAGUCCUCCUCCUUUACCUCUCAUGUCUCUUCUCGCUCUCACUCCCUCAAGCUCCCUCAUUCCGGUCCUUCGACCUUCACACCUCUAUCUGCUAAACGCGCCGCAGCUGUAGUUCUACAUGCUGCCGCCUCCUCUCCCGCUUCAUCGGCGUCUGCGACGGAGAAGAACUUCCACGGGCUCUGCUACGUGGUGGGCGACAACAUUGACACCGACCAGAUCAUCCCGGCGGAGUACCUGACGCUGGUGCCCUCGAAUCCGGCUGAGUACCAGAAGCUCGGGUCCUACGCUUUCGUGGGGCUCCCGGCGUCGUACACCACACGCUUCGUGGAGCCAGGCGAGACCAAGACCAAAUACUCCAUUGUCAUCGGUGGCGACAACUUCGGGUGUGGAUCUUCCCGCGAGCACGCCCCCGUGGCGCUGGGCGCAGCUGGCGCGCAGGCCGUGGUGGCGGAAUCCUAUGCGAGGAUCUUCUUCAGGAAUUCCGUCGCCACUGGGGAAGUGUACCCUCUGGAAUCGGAGGUGAGGAUUUGUGAGGAGUGCCGGACUGGUGACGUGGUGACAAUUGAGUUGGGGCAAAACAAAUUGAUCAAUCAUUCCACGGGCAAGGAAUACAAAUUAAAACCAAUUGGGGAUGCUGGCCCCGUCAUUGAGGCGGGAGGAAUCUUCGCCUACGCCAGGAGCACUGGGAUGAUUCCCUCAUCAUAAUCAGCAUGGGGGUUUUACACCAUGAACAUUUGCAUUCAGGCUGCUUAGACAGGGAAUAGUUUUGUUUGUAAUUCUGUUUACAAAUGAUGUGUUCAUUUUCUAAAACUCGAGCUGUUGUAAUCGUGCUGCUAUUCGUGCUGGUAAAAGAGGAAAUCUGUUUCCUGAUGAUUGAAAUAUAAAGAUCAGGAAGACAUUGUUCUUGAGCUCGUUCCGCAGGAAGACGGCAA